rnacentral:lncRNA from 1 species
UAAGGGCACGAUAGUCGAUAGGCUAGCCCCUGUAAUUCAUCAACCUUCAAUUCACAGAGCUGACCGGAGUCUGGAGGCCGGAGCCGCCGUAGAAAUAUUACUAUUACCAUCCUCCUCUUGGUGAUCGCCCUGUCCCAUAUGGCCUUCUGGAUUCAGGGCCUGCACAGGGUGAUUAACAAAGGGAUGACGGUAAUAUUUAAUUCAUGAUGUUGGCAAACUCGUCGGAAAAUCGACCCCGGCGCUGGAAAACUCACGGCGGGGCAGAGCUCUGAAGUGGCCGCC